AACGUCUGAGCGCGCGGUCAGAACCUGUGUGGCUACCACGUUGCGCAGUCCUCGGCCAAAGGGAGGAGACUCCCUGCUAACAGUCCCAACAAAUGUCACUGAACCAGGCGUCCACACUGCGAAGAUCAAGCUCCCGGGAAGGACGGGCAGGAUUGACCUUUAGUUACCUCUCUCAGCGUUACAAGUCGCGGACGGACGUGUAGACGGUUUAAGAAAGAAGACAGGGAAGCAUGACCUGGGUCACUGAACCAUGUCAGAGAGAUCAGGCACUUUGGCAAAAGUAAAGGAGCUGGCACAGAGAACAGAGAAACUCCAACAGAGACACGGAACUCUGAGGCGAGGAAGCAACACUUUAUUGUGCUGGCACAGACUCAGAGGACUUGUGUCCAAAGAGUGAGCCCCGAGAACAAAGGG